GAUGAACGCUGGCGGCGUGCCUAAUACAUGCAAGUCGAACGCAGUGGGGACGGGUGAGUAACAUGUGGGUAACCUACCAUCAGAGGGGAUAACACUUGGAAACAGGUGCUAAACUGAUACUGAUGGAUGGACCCGCGGUGCAUUAGGUAGUUGUGUAGGUAACGGCCCACCAAGGCCACGAUGCAUAGCCGACCUGAGAGGGUGAGCAGCCACACUGGAACUGAGACACGGCCCAGACUCCUACGUGAGGCAGCAGUAGGGAAUCUGCGGCAAUGGGCUAAAGUCUGACCGAGCCACGCCGCGUGAGUGAAGAAGGUUUUCGGAUCGUAAAACUCUGUUGUUAGAGAAGCGGUAUCUAACCAGAAAGCCACGGCUAACUACGUGCCAGCAGCCGCGGUAAUAC
rnacentral:rRNA from 1 species